rnacentral:rRNA from 1 species
GUGCACGCUGGCGGUCGGCCUAACACAUGCAAGUCGAACGGCAGCACAGUAAGAGCUUGCUCUUACGGGUGGCGAGUGGCGGACGGGUGAGGAAUACAUCGGAAUCUACUUUUUCGUGGGGGAUAACGUAGGGAAACUUACGCUAAUACCGCAUACGACCUACGGGUGAAAGCAGGGGAUCUUCGGACCUUGCGCGAUUGAAUGAGCCGAUGUCGGAUUAGCUAGUUGGCGGGGUAAAGGCCCACCAAGGCGACGAUCCGUAGCUGGUCUGAGAGGAUGAUCAGCCACACUGGAACUGAGACACGGUCCAGACUCCUACGGGAGGCAGCAGUGGGGAAUAUUGGACAAUGGGCGCAAGCCUGAUCCAGCCAUACCGCGUGGGUGAAGAAGGCCUUCGGGUUGUAAAGCCCUUUUGUUGGGAAAGAAAAGCAGCAGGUUAAUACCCCGCUGUUCUGACGGUACCCAAAGAAUAAGCACCGGCUAACUUCGUG